rnacentral:tRNA from 1 species
AGGGGUGUAGCUCAGUGGUAGAGCACUUGGCUAGCAUGCAUGAGGCCCUUGUUUCAAUCCCUAGCACCACAA